rnacentral:rRNA from 1 species
GAUGAACGCUGGCGGCGUGCCUAAUACAUGCAAGUCGAGCGAACUGAUUAGAAGCUUGCUUCUAUGACGUUAGCGGCGGACGGGUGAGUAACACGUGGUCAACCUGCCUGUAAGACUGGGAUAACUCCGGGACACCGGAGCUAAUACCGGAUAACAUUUUCUCUUGCUUACGAGAAAAUUGAAAGAUGGUUUCGGCUAUCCCUUACAGAUGGGCCCGCGGCGCAGUAGCUAGUUGGUGAGGUAACGUCUCACCAAGGCAACGAUGCAUAGCCGACCUGAGAGGGUGAUGGGCCACGCUGGGACUGAGACACGGCCCAGACUCCUACGGGCGGCAGCAGUAGGGAAUCUUCCGCAAUGGACGAAAGUCUGACGGAGCAACGCCGCGUGAGUGAUGAAGGCUUUCGGGUCGUAAAACUCUGUUGUUAGGGAAGAACAAGUACAAGAGUAACUGCUUGUACCUUGACGGUACCUAACCGGAAAGCCACGGCUAACUACGUGCCAGCCGCCGCCGUAA